rnacentral:rRNA from 1 species
CGAGUGGCGAACGGGUGAGUAACGCGUGAGGAACCUGCCCCAAAGAGGGGGACAACAGUUGGAAACGACUGCUAAUACCGCAUAAGCCCACGGCUCGGCAUCGAGCGGAGGGAAAAGGAGCAAUCCGCUUUGAGAUGGCCUCGCGUCCGAUUAGCUAGUUGGUGAGGUAACGGCCCACCAAGGCGACGAUCGGUAGCCGGACUGAGAGGUUGAACGGCCACAUUGGGACUGAGACACGGCCCAA